rnacentral:rRNA from 1 species
UCAAGUAAAUAAGAGCUUAAGGUGGAUGCCUAGGCACUGGAAGGCGAUGAAGGUCGUGACAAGCUGCGAUAAGCUACGGGGAGAAGCAAAUAUUCUAUAAUCCGUAGAUAACCGAAUGGGAAAACCCGUAAAAGCAAUCCUUUUACAUCAUGCAUUGAAUACAUAGAUGUAUGAAGCGACACCCAGGGAACUGAAACAUCUAAGUACCUGGAGGAAAAGUAAUCAAAAUUGAGAUUCCCUCAGUAGUGGCGAGCGAAAGGGGAAAAGUCUAAACCGUUAUAAUGCCAAGUUGCAAGAUUUUGUUAUAGCGGUGUUGUAGGGCGAUAUAUGAAAUACUUGCAUAUUUCGACUUUAAUCUAUAUGAUAGUAGAACUGUUUUGGAAAAGCAGACCAUAGUGGGUGAUAGUCUCGUAUACGAAAUCAUAUAGUUAAGGUUAUGUCGUUCCUGAGUAGGGCGGGGCACGAGAAACCCUGUUUGAAUCUGGGUAGACCACUAUCCAAGACAAAAUACUAGCCAGUGACCGAUAGUGUAGAGUACCGUGAGGGAAAGGUGAAAAGUCUCCCGUUGAGGGCUAUUAAAUAGAACCUGAAACCUUAAGCUUACAAGUAGUCAGAGGGUAUCCUAUUAGCAAUAAUAGCGACCUGAUGGCGUGCCUUUUGUAGAAUGAGCCUGCGACUUAUAGUAUGUAGCAAGAUUAAGAGGUAAUAGCCUUGUAGUCGUAGUGAAAGCGAGCCUUAAUAGGGCGAAAUUAGUUGCAUGCUAUACGACCCGAAGCCAAGUGAUCUACCUAUGAGCAGCGCGAAACUCGAGUAACAUCGAGCGGAGGUGCGAACCAGUGGUCGUGAAAAGACUUUGGAUGACUUGUGGGUAGGAGUGAAAGGCUAAUCAAACUUGGAGAUAGCUGGUUCUCUCCGAAAUGUCUUUAGGGGCAGCGUUAUGCGUUUACUUGCGGGGGUAGAGCACUAAAUGGACUAGGGCUCCUAACCGAGUACCAAACCCAACUAAACUCCGAAUACCGUAAGUUAAGAGCAUGGCAGUUAGACAGCGGCGGAUAAGCGUCAUUGUCAAAAGGGAAACAGCCCAGAUCCUCAGCUAAGGUCCCAAAAUCUAUGUUAAGUGGGAAAGGAUGUGAGAAUACUUAAACAGCCAGGAGGUUGGCUUAGAAGCAGCCAUUCCUUUAAAGAGUGCGUAACAGCUCACUGGUCGAGUGUUUUUGCGCCGAAAAUGUAACGGGGCUCAAACAUAGUACCGAAGCUAGGGAAUUAUAGAGUUAAUCUAUAAUUGGUAGGAGAGCGUUCUUUAAGCCGUUGAAGGUAUGUCGUAAGAUAUGCUGGAGGUAUAAGAAGUGAGGAUGCAGGCAUAAGUAACGAGAAAACGGGUGAAAAACCCGUUCGCCGCAAACCCAAGGUUUCCUAGGUAAAGCUAAUCUGCCUAGGGUUAGUCGACCCCUAAGAUAAGGCUGAAAAGCGUAGUCGAUGGGAAACAGGUAAAUAUUCCUGUACUAUAGUAUGUUUCGAUGGAAUGACACAGAUUGUUUGCGUGCGCGAGGUUUUGGUUGUCCUCGUCGAACCGUUUAGACUUGUGGCGAGUCAAAUGCUUGUCGCUUUAAGGUUGAGUCGGGAUAGUGACUGGGCUUUCGGGUUCAGGAAGUUGCGUGAACUAGGCUGUCGAGAAAUAAUUUCUAAGGUUAGGCAUAUUAUAAUCGUACCGUAAACCGACACAGGUGGGUGAGAUGAAUAUUCUAAGGCGCUCGAGAUAAUCUUCCCUAAGGAACUCUGCAAAUUAGUCUUGUAACUUCGGAAAAAGAGACGCCUGAAUCUCGGUAGCAAUAUUGGGAGGAGGGUCGCAGUGAAAAGGCCUGGCCGACUGUUUAACAAAAACACAGAUCUCUGCAAACAUGCAAAUGGAUGUAUAGGGAUUGACACCUGCCCAGUGCUGGAAGGUUAAAAGGAGAGGUUAGCGCAAGCGAAGCUUCGAAUUGAAGCCCCAGUAAACGGCGGCCGUAACUAUGACGGUCCUAAGGUAGCGAAAUUCCUUGUCGGGUAAGUUCCGACC